GAGUCAGUAGGUUGGUCGUGUCACCGGUACGUACUGGUCUCACUGAUUCCUCCUUCCUGAAGAACCGUAAUGCCAUUAAUUUGGUGUUGCGGGGAAACAGGACUGUUACUUUGAAAAAAUUAGAGUGUUUAAAGCAAGCUAACGCUUGAAUACAUUAGCAUGGAAUAAUGAAAUAGGACGUUCGAUCCUAUUUUGUUGGUUUCUAGGAUUGACGUA
rnacentral:rRNA from 1 species